rnacentral:rRNA from 1 species
GAUGAACGCUAGCUACAGGCUUAACACAUGCAAGUCGAGGGGCAGCAUGGUCUUAGCUUGCUCAGGCCGAUGGCGACCGGCGCACGGGUGAGUAACACGUAUCCAACCUGCCGUCUACUCUUGGACAGCCUUCUGAAAGGAAGAUUAAUACAAGAUGGCAUCAUGAGUUCACAUGUUCACAUGAUUAAAGGUAUUCCGGUAGACGAUGGGGAUGCGUUCCAUUAGAUAGUAGGCGGGGUAACGGCCCACCUAGUCUUCGAUGGAUAGGGGUUCUGAGAGGAAGGUCCCCCACAUUGGAACUGAGACACGGUCCAAACUCCUACGGGAGGCAGCAGUGAGGAAUAUUGGUCAAUGGGCGAGAGCCUGAACCAGCCAAGUAGCGUGAAGGAUGACUGCCCUAUGGGUUGUAAACUUCUUUUAUAAAGGAAUAAAGUCGGGUAUGUAUACCCGUUUGCAUGUACUUUAUGAAUAAGGAUCGGCUAACUCCGUG